UCGCUGUGAAGAUGCAGUGUACCCGCGGCAAGACGGAAAGACCCCGUGAACCUUUACUAUAGCUUGACACUGAACAUUGAGCCUUGAUGUGUAGGAUAGGUGGGAGGCUUUGAAGUGUGGACGCCAGUCUGCAUGGAGCCGACCUUGAAAUACCACCCUUUAAUGUUUGAUGUUCUAACGUGGGCCCCUUACCGGGGUUGCGGACAGUGUCUGGUGGGUAGUUUGACUGGGGCGGUCUCCUCCUAAAGAGUAACGGAGGAGCACGAAGGUUGGCUAAUCCUGGUCGGACAUCAGGAGGUUAGUGCAAUGGCAUAAGCCAGCUUGACUGCGAGCGUGACGGCGCGAGCAGGUGCGAAAGCAGGUCAUAGUGA
rnacentral:rRNA from 1 species